UGCGCGAUGCACCUGAAACGUACAGGGCUAAUUUGAGGAAUGUUGCGGAUAAUUGGGCUAAUGAGGAUGAUAGGGUGAUGUAUAAGACUAACAUUGAUGAACAAAGACAAGAAAAUAUGGCCAAUGAGUUUGACCCUUUUGACUCUCAGAAUGGAAAAGAAAUUGAAACCCGAGGGAUAGGCCGAAUUACUCCAUAUAGGAGUAGUAGGCAGAGAAGUGAGGCUGAAGUGUUG
rnacentral:misc_RNA from 1 species